rnacentral:rRNA from 1 species
GACGAACGCUGGCGGCGUGCUUAACACAUGCAAGUCGAACGGAAAGGCCUCUUUCGGGGGGUACUCGAGUGGCGAACGGGUGAGUAACACGUGAGUAACCUGCCCUUGACUUUGGGAUAACUUCAGGAAACUGGGGCUAAUACCGGAUAGGAGAUCCUGCUGCAUGGUGGGGGUUGGAAAGUUUCGGCGGUUGGGGUUGGACUCGCGGCGUAUCAGCUUGGUGGUGGGGUAGUGGCUUACCAAGGCUUUGACGGGUAGCCGGCCUGGGAGGGUGACCGGCCACAUUGGGACUGAGAGUCGGCCCGGACUCCUACGGGUGGCAGCAGUGGGGAAUAUUGCACAAUGGGUGGAAGCCUGAUGCAGCAACGCCGUGUGCGGGAUGACGGCCUUCGGGUUGUAAACCGCUUUCGCUCAUGACGAAGCUUUGUGUGACGGUAGUGGGUAAAGAAGCACCGGCUAACUCCGUG